AUACAAUUCACUUAGGGAUUGUGUUAAAAUGCAGAUUCUGGCUCUGUAGGUCUGGAAUUAGGCCUAAGAUCCUGCAUUUUCAACAACCUCCCAGAUGAUGCCAGU
rnacentral:pre_miRNA from 1 species